GAGUUUGAUCCUGGCUCAGGAUGAACGCUGGCGGCGUGCUUAACACAUGCAAGUCGAACGAAGCACUUGAGAUUGAAUCUUCGGAUGAGAACUCUUGUGACUGAGUGGCGGACGGGUGAGUAACGCGUGGGUAACCUACCUCAUACAGGGGGAUAACAGUUGGAAACGACCGCUAAUACCGCAUAACCCGCUAGUAUCGCAUGGUACGGACGGAAAAGAUUUAUCGGUAUGAGAUGGACCCGCGUCUGAUUAGCCAGUUGGCAGGGUAACGGCCUACCAAAGCAACGAUCAGUAGCCGGCCUGAGAGGGUGAACGGCCACAUUGGGACUGAGACACGGCCCAAACUCCUACGGGAGGCAGCAGUGGGGAAUAUUGCACAAUGGGGGAAACCCUGAUGCAGCGACGCCGCGUGAGUGAGGAAGUAUUUCGGUAUGUAAAGCUCUAUCAGCAGGGAAGAAAAUGACGGUACCUGACUAAGAAGCCCCGGCUAACUACGUGCCAGC
rnacentral:rRNA from 1 species